GACGAACGCUGGCGGCGUGCUUAACACAUGCAAGUCGAACGGAAAGGCCCUGCUUUUGUGGGGUGCUCGAGUGGCGAACGGGUGAGUAACACGUGAGUAACCUGCCCUUGACUUUGGGAUAACUUCAGGAAACUGGGGCUAAUACCGGAUAGGAGCUCCUGCUGCAUGGUGGGGGUUGGAAAGUUUCGGCGGUUGGGGAUGGACGCGCGGCUUAUCAGCUUGUUGGUGGGGUAGUGGCUUACCAAGGCUUUGACGGGUAGCCGGCCUGAGAGGGUGACCGGCCACAUUGGGACUGAGAUACGGCCCAGACUCCUACGGGAGGCAGCGGUGGGGAAUAUUGCACAAUGGGCGGAAGCCUGAUGCAGCAACGCCGCGUGCGGGAUGACGGCCUUCGGGUUGUAAACCGCUUUCGCCUGUGACGAAGCGUGAGUGACGGUAAUGGGUAAAGAAGCACCGGCUAACUACGUG
rnacentral:rRNA from 1 species